AAGGUGAGCUUAAACACUGCUUGGAGGUUUAUAAAUUGAAGUUGUAGUCAUCUUAUAUUUUGCUGUAGCUCCUUCUGAGUUUUGAUGUCAUAGAUUUUAUGGCUUUUUGUCUGUUUUUGUUAAUAAAAACACAGUUGUUUUUUUUUUUUUUUACUAAUAUUUGUGGAGGAAGUGGCAGCAAAUGGAAAAGGAUGCCUUAAUGCGUACCAGUGAAAUAGAACUCAAGGGAACUAUGUGCACAGUAAUUAUGAAUACUGUCAAGAACUUAGGGAAGGUGUUUUUUUUUUUUUAAGAAAAAAAUAAUGAAACAAUUUUUUUUUAAACAUUGGGCUUUCAUGGGUUGAGAUCUAGGUUUUUCAGGAGAGGGUUACUUGGGGAACGGGCAUUUCCUCAUCACGAAGCCCUCCUCACUGUGUCCCUGGCCCCACCUCCUUUCCCAGCCCAGCAGUUGCUCUCUGCUUUACAUUCCUCGGAAACGUGUGUCAUUCAGGACUGAAAUGUUCAUGUAUGUUUCCUACUUCUCCACCGUAUCAGAGGAUCCCUGAAGUCAAGAUCUGUUUAAACAUAUAGCAGGAUGAAAAUCGUCAACAAGGAGAGACAAUAAUCAAGGGACCAAAUGGCAGGGAUGGGGAACUAAGAAUGAGAGAGGGUUCUACUUGGACAAAGAGUGAGAUGUUCUCAGAAGGUCCCAGGUGCCUGCAUAUCGCCAAGGGCCAAGUGUAAUGCAGAUUCUCCCAAAUCACGUAUUCCAGCAGUCAGGAACAUUUGUGAGUAAUGGAAGCAAAGAUCAAAAUUUUUAUUGAUUUAAAUGCAACACAAUCCCAAGAUUAGACCACCAGGGAGUCGUAUGUUUGUAUGUCCCCUGGAGAAAUUCUUGUUCCUGUUGUGGGCAUUCUCAACGCCCAGGGUAAUGCUUGGUUUGUGGUGGGUCCUCAGUUCAUACUAUUGAUUGAACAUGGAACUGAACAGCUUUUCUCUGCUUUGCAUGCUCUGCUUUGCAUGGGCUUGUUUUCAUUCCUUGGAACGGACUUUUUCAGAUGUUCCCUUCCUUUGUAUUUUGUAUAUUCUGGCUUCAUAAUGAAUAUUAGGUGA
rnacentral:lncRNA from 1 species